AGUGAACGCUGGCGGUAGGCCUAACACAUGCAAGUCGAACGGCAGCACAGUAAGAGCUUGCUCCUACGGGUGGCGAGUGGCGGACGGGUGAGGAAUACAUCGGAAUCUACUUUUUCGUGGGGGAUAACGUAGGGAAACUUACGCUAAUACCGCAUACGACCUACGGGUGAAAGCAGGGGAUCUUCGGACCUUGCGCGAUUGAAUGAGCCGAUGUCGGAUUAGCUAGUUGGCGGGGUAAAGGCCCACCAAGGCGACGAUCUGUAGCUGGUCUGAGAGGAUGAUCAGCCACACUGGAACUGAGACACGGUCCAGACUCCUACGGGAGGCAGCAGUGGGGAAUAUUGGACAAUGGGCGCAAGCCUGAUCCAGCCAUACCGCGUGGGUGAAGAAGGCCUUCGGGUUGUAAAGCCCUUUUGUUGGGAAAGAAAAGCAGCAGGUUAAUACCCCGCUGUUCUGACGGUACCCAAAGAAUAAGCACCGGCUAACUUCGUG
rnacentral:rRNA from 1 species